GACAGAGGGGUCAAGCGUUGCUCGGAAUCACUGGGCGUAAAGCGCACGUAGGCGGAUUGUUAAGUCAGAGGUGAAAUCCCGGAGCUCAACUUCGGAACUGCCUUUGAUACUGGCAAUCUAGAGUCCGGAAGAGGUUAGUGGAAUUCCCAGUGUAGAGGUGAAAUUCGUAGAUAUCGGGAGGAACACCGGUGGCGAAGGCGGCGACCUGGGUAGAUACUGACGCUGAGGUGCGAAAGCGUGGGGAGCGAACAGG
rnacentral:rRNA from 1 species